CUGGAACACCUGCAGCACCUGUCCCAGGUCCGGCCCCGGCAAUGCGCUGACUGCGGACACCCCCAGCCCGCUCCCAGUCUCCCCCAGCCCGCUCCCCCAGGCACAGGUCACCCUGCCCGCCGGGAACAUGGGGGGCAAGCGCUUCAACAAACUGCUCUCCCAUGUCAGGAGACUGCCCCACAAAUACCACCUGCUGGGGGGCAGCGAGCUCAAGGC